rnacentral:lncRNA from 1 species
GGCCCUAAAAAGACCAAAAAAAAAAAAAAAAAAAAGGGCAGCUGAGUGAUGUCAGGCUGUGGGGUGGUAUUAGGUGGGGUGAGUGCCCUGGCUGAUUUUGAGAAGUUGUACCCCCAUCUGUAGGGCAUUUCAUUGUGCUAUGUUAGAGCACCAUUGACGGGAACACUGAAAGUGCCCACCUGGACCAGGCGGCAUACUAGCUGCUUGCAUGUGUUGUCUCACAGCAGGAGGCCCUGAGAAUCAACAUGUGCUGCCCUGAAGACUAACCAGGAGGAUUUGGGAGGGGCCGCUAGAAGGAAGGAGAUGACCAGCCUCCCAGGAUCCUUGGUGCCGGAGUCCAUCUUGGCUGAGAGGGAAAAACUCAGCCUCCAAGAUCGUCACUGAGUUCCAAAGGAGCUAAACCCCCAACAAAUGGAAAACUGGAGAGGAGGACCACCAGCACCAGUCCUGGGGCUGCCGAACACCAACUUUGAAGAAGAAUGCAAGCUUGCAUCUACCCUGAUCCUUACCUGUGGCCCUAUUUUCUACUGCCACACUGUGUAAAAUCCCUUCCUGAUCUCUCCCAAGGUGGGGCACAGUCUUUAGGGCAUUAGCCUGCUGUGGCCUCCUUUGCUUGGCAAAGCAAUAAAGCUAUUUUUUUUCUCUUUCAC